rnacentral:misc_RNA from 1 species
GAUGAAGAACGCAGCGAAAUGCGAUAAGUAAUGUGAAUUGCAGAAUUCAGUGAAUCAUCGAAUCUUUGAACGCACAUUGCGCCCCUUGGUAUCCCGAGGGGCAUGCCUGUUCGAGCGUCAUUUCACCACUCAAGCCUGGCUUGGUGUUGGGCGACGUCCCCUUUGGGGACGCGCCUUGAAACGCUCGGCGGCGUGGCACCGGCUUUAAGCGUAGCAGAAUCUUUCGCUUUGGAAGUCGGGGCCCCGUCUGCCGGAAGACCUACUCGCAAGGUUGACCUCGGAUCAGGCAGGGAUACCCGCUGAACUUAAGCAUAUCAAUAAGCGGAGGA